ensembl:lncRNA
GCGGUGGUCACAGCACCACCUAGAGUUUUUUCAGAGAGCCACCACAUGUUCCUGUAGAACGUCAGAAGCUGUACGCUGAAAAAGGGGGAGCAACGCCGCCCUCCGUGAACAACCCUCUUGAGUUGGGAGCGGGGGGGUCACCGCUAAGCUGGGGGCCAGUCCAGGUAGAUGGAGGCGUGUUGAAGAGGGGCGCCCCCCGGUGGCCUGGUCCCCUUGAUCCCAGGUCUCAUUGAUCCCGGAUCAGGCAUCAAUAAGCGUGCAACAUGUCCCCUUGCCGACAGCCCGACUACGGUCCUCAGACGCAGACGAAACAAACCCAAAGACUUCCGUAACAUUGCUUAGUAACACAGCAAAUAGAUGCAUUUCCGUGUGCCCGUGAGUGUCUGGCGAGGCGAGGCGAGGCGAGGCCCCCCCCAAUGCCAAGCAAGCGUGUGUCGCUGUAGAGAACCCGCCACACACCAGUGCCGCCGGGCAAGGCACCAAGGAACUCCUCUCGAAGCACCGAGCUCCAGUACCGGCCCGUCAAACUGCCCCCCCCUCU